AUUCUUCUAGUAUUAAUCAGUACAAAUGACUUCCAAUCGUUUAGUCUCAAUUUAACCUUGAGGAAGAAUA
rnacentral:tRNA from 1 species